UUCAUCAAGAUUCAUAAGAAAGUUGUAAUUCCUGCCAUCUCAGUUGGAGGGAUGCUUUGGAGAAGAAAAGGGAGAUCUCACUGGAGGCUCUGCAAACCAGAUGGCCUGGCCUGGCAGGUUACAGUUCUGAACCAGGUAUUCAUCUAAAUCUGAUGGAGAAGUUUUACAGACAAGGACUUAUACACCCAGAGGGAAGAGUCAAAGGCAUUCAUCAGGCUGAUAUACAAUAGAUGAAAAAUGAACUCCACACCUCUGGAAGGUUUUGAUGACUAAGGAGGGAAGAGGAGACAAAGAAGCAAUAACAUUCUGGGCUUCCAUGUGAACUUCAAAAGAUGAUUUAGAAAGCAGGCAUACAUAUUGAUCUCUGCUUUUCAAGAAGAAAUGCUGUGUAUAUUUGUAUUUUAAAUGGGGGCAGGUGACUCCAAGGAUCAUCUUUGGUAAGAUGAGAUAACAAGCCAGAACAUGACUCCUGUUUUCCUGGGAAGAAAAACAUCAAAGAUGAACCGUGAAAAAUAAGUCGACAUAUUUUUUGUCAGUCAGGAAUAUUGUUAUCGGACUGAUUUUUCUCUUUGUCCAAAAAAAUAUUGAUUUUGUGAUAUAGAUAUCAAGGCGACAUAUGUCAUAAGUGUCAAGUUUCAAAAUAUUUCAUUUUUUUCUUCAUCAGAUAUAUAUUCCAAAAAAGAAGAGAGGAAAGAGGAAAUUAUUUUGUUUGUUUGUUUGCUUGCUUGCUUGCUUAUUCAUUCAUUCAUUCAUUCAUUCAUUCAUUUAAUUUAUUAAAUGAAUGAUUAAAGACAGUUCUGUCCAAAUGUGACAACUGUAGCAGAAUGAAGAGCAGGCAGGUAGACCAGCUCUUUGUAAUUCCUCUCUGGACAAGGAGAGGACUAGUAUCACUCAAAAGUGUUCUAGACAGUUGCUUGUCGUGAAGAGACUGCAAAACAGAGGUCUCUGAUAGGUUAGAGUUCUGAAAUAAGGAAAUAGCUAUCUUGUUCAAACUUCAGUAGUGCCCUUGAAAGACUGUCUUUGCUUUUUUUUUUUUUUUUUUCCUUUUCUAAUGAUUUUCAGAAAUUGCUUAUAACCAUCUUUUAGAUAUUAGAAAUGUUUGGAUUGACAGGUUUUACAACAACAGUGAAUUUCCUUUAAUCCUUAGCAAAAGUUUUAAAUAUAUGUUGAGGGACUUAAACAUUUAUUUUGAAUAAACAGCAAAAGGGUGACUAAAACAUUGAUUUUAGAAAGUUUUAUUUGAUUGAGCCAAGUAAAUUAGAAAUAUGAUUUUGGAAUUAAUUAUAAAAAUAUUUAUUGUGGGGAAAAUGCUUUUAUUUUGAAUUUUUAAAAAACACAAUAAAAUAGAACUUUAAAAAUUGGAUAUGAGAGGGAACUAGAAGGAACUAUAGAUUGCAAUUAAAGGAAAAGAACCUUUAAAUUCAACUUACAAAUACAAAAUGAAGCAGAAUAUUUUAAUAAUGGACAUAUUGAAUGUAUGUUUUUGAAUCCAGAAGUUAAUUUAAGUAUGUGCCUCUAUAGAUUUGUUGUAUUUAAAAGAUGUAAUGGAAGAGGAACAAAUUUUACCUGACAUGAUAAAGGCUGAUCUUGAAGUUGAUUUUAAAAUGGCAGGCUAAAAGAAUGACAUGCAAAAAGAUGUUACAUUGGAUAUGCAAAAGAAACCAGCUUAAUAAUUAAAAAUAUAUAAAAACCAAGAGAGUAUAUUGAAUUUGGAAGGAGGCUUGUUAAAACUUUGAAAAAAAUUUGUAAGAAGGGACAUUGAAA